rnacentral:tRNA from 1 species
GCGGGUGUAGCUCAGGGGUAGAGCAUCUCGUUGCCAACGAGAAUGUCGACAGUUCAAAUCUGUUCACCCGCUCCA